rnacentral:rRNA from 1 species
UACGUAGGGUGCAAGCGUUGUCCGGAAUUAUUGGGGCGUAAAGGGCUCGUAGGCGGUCUGUCACGUCGGGAGUGAAAACUCGGGGCUUAACCCCGAGCCUGCUUCCGAUACGGGCAGACUAGAGGUAUGCAGGGGAGAAUGGAAUUCCUGGCGUAGCGGUGAAAUGCACAGAUAUCAGGAGGAACACCGGUGGCGAAGGCGGUUCUCUGGGCAUUACCUGACGCUGAGGAGCGAAAGUGUGGGGAGCGAACAGG